UGAGGAAUAUUGGUCAAUGGGCGAGAGCCUGAACCAGCCAAGUCGCGUGAGGGAUGACUGCCCUAUGGGUUGUAAACCUCUUUUGUAUGGGGGGAAUAAGCUUUACGAGUAGAGUGAUGACAGUACCAUACGAAUAAGCAUCGGCUAACUCCGUGCCAGCAGCCGCGGUAAUACGGAGGAUGCGAGCGUUAUCCGGAUUUAUUGGGUUUAAAGGGUGCGUAGGCGGCAUUAUAAGUUAGUGGUAAAAUAUUGGGGCUUCACCUCACUACGCCAUUAAUACUGUAGAGCUAGAGAACAGACGAGGUAGGCGGAAUAAGUUAAGUAGCGGUGAAAUGCAUAGAUAUAACUUAGAACACCGAUAGCGAAGGCAGCUUACCAGACUGAGUCUGACGCUGAUGCACGAGAGCAUGGGUAGCGAACAGG
rnacentral:rRNA from 3 species